GGGGGCGUAGCUCAGAUGGUAGAGCGCUCGCUUAGCAUGCGAGAGGUACGGGGUACCCCGCGCCUCCA